GAUGAACGCUAGCGGCAGGCCUAAUACAUGCAAGUCGAACGGGAUUAAGAGGCUUGCUUCUUAUGAGAGUGGCGCACGGGUGCGUAACACGUAUGCAACCUACCUUCGACUGGGGGAUAGCCUUCCGAAAGGGAGAUUAAUACCGCAUAACAUAAUUGAACGGCAUCGCUUAAUUAUCAAACUUCCAGGGGUUGAAGAUGGGCAUGCGUCCGAUUAGUUAGUUGGUGAGGUAACGGCUCACCAACACAUCGAUCGGUAGGGGAUCUGAGAGGCAGGCCCCCCACACUGGUACUGAGACACGGCCCAGACACGUCCGGAAGGCAGCAGUAAGGAAGAUUGGUCAAUGAACGCAAGUCUGAACCAGCCAUGGCGCGUGCAGGAGGACGGUCCUCUGGAUUGUAAACUGCUUUUGUAAGGGAAGAAACCCUCGGAUGCGUUCGAGGCUGACGGUACCUAAAGAAUAAGGAUCGGCUAACUCCGUGCCAGCAGCCGCCGUAACAC
rnacentral:rRNA from 1 species